rnacentral:rRNA from 1 species
ACGCACGCUGGCGGCGUGCUUAACACCUGCAAGUCGAACGGAAAGGCCCUGCUUUUGUGGGGUGCUCGAGUGGCGAACGGGUGAGUAACACGUGAGUAACCUGCCCUUGACUUUGGGAUAACUUCAGGAAACUGGGGCUAAUACCGGAUAGGAGCUCCUGCUGCAUGGUGGGGGUUGGAAAGUUUCGGCGGUUGGGGAUGGACUCGCGGCUUAUCAGCUUGUUGGUGGGGUAGUGGCUUACCAAGGCUUUGACGGGUAGCCGGCCUGAGAGGGUGACCGGCCACAUUGGGACUGAGAUACGGCCCAGACUCCUACGGGAGGCAGCAGUGGGGAAUAUUGCACAAUGGGCGGAAGCCUGAUGCAGCAACGCCGCGUGCGGGAUGACGGCCUUCGGGUUGUAAACCGCUUUCGCCUGUGACGAAGCGUGAGUGACGGUAAUGGGUAAAGAAGCACCGGCUAGCUACGUG